rnacentral:rRNA from 1 species
GAUGAACGCUGGCGGCGUGCCUAAUACAUGCAAGUCGAGCGAACAGAUGAGGAGCUUGCUCCUCUGACGUUAGCGGCGGACGGGUGAGUAACACGUGGAUAACCUACCUAUAAGACUGGGAUAACUUCGGGAAACCGGAGCUAAUACCGGAUAAUAUAUUGAACCGCAUGGUUCAAUAGUGAAAGACGGUUUUGCUGUCACUUAUAGAUGGAUCCGCGCCGCAUUAGCUAGUUGGUAAGGUAACGGCUUACCAAGGCAACGAUGCGUAGCCGACCUCAGAGAGUGAACGGCCACCCUGGCAGUGAGUCACCGUCCAGACUCCAACGCGAGCCAGCAGUAUCUAUUCUCCCGCAACAUUCGGAAGACUUCCCUAGCAACGCCGGAUAAGCGAGGAGCGUCCAAGGUGCCUAGAUCUAUUUUAUCCCGACAGAACAAAUGUGUAAGUAUAUAAGACCGUCUCGACGGUACCGAACCAGCAAGGCACGGCUAAAUCCGUG